rnacentral:rRNA from 1 species
AUGAUGUCCAUAUUACAUACCAACAACAUGGUACGUCCUCUGUUAGCCAUCCUCCUCCUGUCAUCAGCUUUGAACCACUUGUCAUCUGCUGCAACACUAGCUGAUAGUAGCACCCACACCAGCAGAGAUGCUCUGCUCUGCCUCAAGUCCUGCAUUGGCGGUACCACACUGGCCAUGGCUACGUGGAACGACGGUGCCUCACCGGAUUUCUGCACUUGGCUUGGGGUCACAUGUACAAGGAGGAAAGGGCAACCACCCCUCGUGGUGGACUUGGAUAUGGAAGCCGAAGGACUCUCCGGUGAGAUCCCACCAUGCAUCUCCAACCUCACUUCUCUGGUAAGAAUCCACUUGCCCAACAACCAGCUCUCCGGCCAUAUCCAGUCGGAACUUGGUCGGCUCUCUGGACUCAGGUACCUCAACCUCAGCGUCAACACGCUCAGCGGCACUAUCCCUCUCAGUCUUGGUGUGCUUCACAACCUUUCUUCUCUAGACUUGGGUAGCAAUGGACUAUCCGGUGAAAUUCCACCUUUCAUGAAGUCAAAGCUCACAUACCUAAGUCUAGUCGGAAACAGCCUUACCGGAGUCGUGUCGCCAUCGAUGGAAAAUCUCUCAUCCCUUACAUACCUCUUGCUUGCGCAAAACCAGUUGCAAGGAUCCAUUCCUGAUUUGGGUGAACUGUCAAGCCUACAAAACCUUGAUCUCUCCUACAACAAUCUAUCAGGGACAGUACCGCCCUCCAUUUACAAUUUGUCCUCAUUAAACUACCUUGGGUUGUCCAACAAUAAUCUUGGAGGAACACUACCUUCUGGUAUGGGCAACACACUUCCUAACAUCCAAAUACUGAUGAUGCAUAAUAAUCAUUUUGAGGGGGCUAUCCCAGCCUCGCUGCAGAAUGCCUCCAGCAUGACGAUUAUCCAUCUAGGCAACAACUCUUUGACUGGGGUGAUUCCUUCUUUUGGCUCCAUGCCAAACUUGAAGCAUGUAAUGUUGUACUCAAAUCAGCUAGAAGCCGGAGACUGGGCAUUCUUCUCCUCCUUAGCAAAUUGUACACGUUUGCAGCAACUGAACUUGGGUAGAAACAACCUUCAGGGAGAUUUACCACCGAAUUCCAUAGAGAAUCUGCCCAAAAGCUUGACCGCUCUAACUCUUCGGUCAAACAUCUCUGGCACCAUUCCCUUGGAGAUUGGAAACUUGUCUAAUCUUGCCAUGCUCUAUCUUGAUAGAAAUCUUUUCGGUGGGCCUAUACCUUCUACCCUUGGUCAACUAAGCAAUCUUGUCGUGCUUAGCCUAUCACAGAACAAUUUUUCUGGGGAAAUACCUCCUUCCGUUGGAAGCCUACACCAGCUGCAAGAGCUCUAUUUGCAAGAAAAUCAAUUGAGUGGAAGCAUACCUACAAGUCUAGCCAGCUGUGAGAACUUACUUGCAUUAAACCUUUCAUGUAAUACCCUUGGUGGAAGCAUAAGUGGAGACAUGUUGGGCAAGUUGAAUCAGUUGAGUUGGCUACUUGAUUUAUCACACAACCAACUCGCAAUGUCCAUACCAGUAGAGGUAGCUUGA